AGGACGAACGCUGGCGGCGUGGAUUAGGCAUGCAAGUCGCGCGACAGAUAAGGGCUUGCCCUUAUUAUGGAGCGGCGAACGGGUGAGUAACACGUGAACAAUCUGUCCCUUCAUUCCGGAUAAUUGGUCGAAAGACCUUGUAAUACGGGGGAGGAUCACUUCGGGGCAUCUCGAGGUGAAGGAAGGCGCAAGCCGUGCAGGGAGGAGUUCGCGGACUAUCAGGUAGUUGGUGGGGUAAUGGCCUACCAAGCCUACGACGGGUAGC
rnacentral:rRNA from 1 species